CUAUGUGUUGUUGGGUAGGGGAGCGUUCUGUAAGCCUGUGAAGGUGGCCUGUGAGGGUUGCUGGAGGUAUCAGAAGUGCGAAUGCUGACAUAAGUAACGAUAAAGCGGGUGAAAAGCCCGCUCGCCGGAAGACCAAGGGUUCCUGUCCAACGUUAAUCGGGGCAGGGUGAGUCGACCCCUAAGGCGAGGCCGAAAGGCGUAGUCGAUGGGAAACAGGUUAAUAUUCCUGUACUUGGUGUUACUGCGAAGGGGGGACGGAGAAGGCUAUGUUGGCCGGGCGACGGUUGUCCCGGUUUAAGCGUGUAGGCUGGUUUUCCAGGCAAAUCCGGAAAACCAAGGCUGAGGCGUGAUGACGAGGCACUACGGUGCUGAAGCGACAAAUGCCCUGCUUCCAGGAAAAGCCUCUAAGCAUCAGGUAACAUCAAAUCGUACCCCAAACCGACACAGGUGGUCAGGUAGAGAAUACCAAGGCGCUUGAGAGAACUCGGGUGAAGGAACUAGGCAAAAUGGUGCCGUAACUUCGGGAGAAGGCACGCUGAUAUGUAGGUGAAGCGACUUGCUCGUGGAGCUGAAAUCAGUCGAAGAUACCAGCUGGCUGCAACUGUUUAUUAAAAACACAGCACUGUGCAAACACGAAAGUGGACGUAUACGGUGUGACGCCUGCCCGGUGCCGGAAG
rnacentral:rRNA from 1 species